AUGUGGGAAGCAUGUUCUUGUCAUCUUAACGGACAUGAGCUCGUACGCUGAUGCACUUCGUGAGGUGUCUGCGGCUCGAGAGGAGGUCCCUGGUAGACGUGGUUAUCCUGGGUAUAUGUAUACCGAUCUUGCAACAAUUUAUGAACGGGCUGGACGUAUAGAAGGAAGAAAAGGAUCUAUCACACAGAUACCUAUUUUAACCAUGCCUAAUGAUGAUAUUACA
rnacentral:misc_RNA from 1 species